GGGAAACUGGAUCUCGGUGUUGCUGGAGAGGAACGUCUCUGCUUCUAGCCAAGUAGCCGGCUACUACAGCGCUAUCUAACGACGCCGCGGCUCCAACACCGACGAAUCCUUAGGGCGAAAUCGCGCGCACGCGCCUCCGCCAACGGUGACGUUUCGCGAUACGUUCGCCGAUUGGCUCGCCGGUUCCCGACCCCACGCUCUUCGCGCGAUUCUCACCAGUUGUCGGAUCGACGAUGGAUUUCCACUUACGACGGAUUCGUAAUCGUUUUCGAUAUCGCUCGCGUGUCGCGCAGUUUCGCGAAAUUGUCGAAAAUCGUGGCGCACGUGUGAAGGGAAGGUAAUUGAAAUGCAUUGUUCAUCGAGAGUUGUAAUUAAAUGGUAUUGUCCAAUCAAAGGCACAUUGUAAGUCGGGCCAACUUUGAUUCGUGGACGCGGGAACUGCGAUUCCGGAAAUGUUUUCCGUUGCGGCGGAUCGAUUCGUGUUCGAAACAGCUAUCGAGGGGGUAAAUUCGGAACGAUUAAUCGACUAAUUCAUUUUCCUAGACAUUAGCACUAGAUUCCGUGGCGACAAUUUGCCAUCGAAUACGGGUUUCAACGUUGGGGAUAAGUUGUUUUCGGAUAGAAAUAAAAAUCUAUCGAGCAGCACAACUGUCUCUACUAAUGGCGCCAACAUUAUUCGUAACGACCCGAACAUUAGAACUUGUUGCCAGCAAUUUAAGUGGCCGGCAAUUUCUGAAUUAUUAAUUUCGCUGUCUUCUGGUUGUAAGCGAGUCUCAAAAUGCGACGUUGCUGCAAUGCAGUACCUAAAUGAUUAACAUACAUUUAUUUGUAUCUUUUUAAUUAAUAAUCGUUGGAAAUUCAUUUAAAAAUGUAAGAUACUCAACUGUUGAAACGUCAUGCCUUUUGUUACCUUGACGUUCCUUAAUUGGCUAUGUCGCAAUUUUUCGGUUUUCUUGACUAAAAUGGUUUCUAACGCUGCUCUAUAAGUGUGUACCUGAAAUAUAACACGUUAAGUAACAUGAUCAAGCAUAUUUUCAGUAUUUCACUUAACUAUUAAAUCUUCAUAAUUCCCAGUCUUCAAUUUAUCACAGAACUUUUCUAUGGCGUGACAUGCUACUUCCAACGACAUGUAACUCAAUGCAUUAUCUUUACGCGAUAUCAGGUACUGGCUAAGUGGAUAACCCUUCGAUCGACCUAUCUCCGAUCUGAAAUUGAAUCAUCGAAUGUAGAACAAUUAAGACAUUAAUAAUAAUACACAAAUUAGUUGUACAUACCUUAAAGUUAAUUUCAUGUAACAACAUCCAACGAUACAAAUGAAUUUGGCUUCGCUUCUGGAGGUAUAAAACCUUAACAACAAAGGAGCUAAAUCACCGCAGGGAUGAAGUCCUACAAGACCAAAUGUAGUGUCUGUUUUGGUUAAAUUAAAUCCAUUCUGAAAUAAAUCUUGUAAAUGACUGACCAAUUCUGAUUCGACUAAAUUAGAUAACUCCAAUUUAGCUGGAUAAUGCUGUGGACUCUUCUCAUCAAAAUUAGGUAACACAGAAUCCAUGUUGAAAUGCCAAGAUACGUGCCAAGUGACCCAUUCCAGCCCCGAUAUCGACAAUACAUUUACAAUUAGAAUCGUAAGCACAGUUUGCGCAUACCUACAAAUGUACUCACAAUGCAUUAAGAUAUAAUCACUCGUAUGUAAACAAAAAAGCGAAUUACUCUAGCUAUUUCUUGUAUUUCGUAUUUCUUUUUCUUUUUUAUAUGCUUCGAGAAUAAUUUAUCGAAUUUACUAUC